UCCUUGGUUAAGUAAUGGUCAUUAAAAAUAUAAUUUCUUGUAGUGUCUAUUACCCACUAUAUCAACUACCUCUCGUUAACAUAUAGACUUCAAAUAACUACAACACGGCUAACUCUAGUCGUAAACUCAUCUCUUCAUCAUUAGAGCUGGCACGAUCUGAUCUCCUUUGUAACAUAGGAAUAUAUCUUACACAUAUGAGCACAAGAUACUUAGCUCAAAGAAGAACUCAAGACACUGCUACACUAGAUCAGGUCCCUUGUUGUAUAUGAGAAUGGUUCUUCUUUGAAAAUGAAUUUUGCUUUUUGAAUAUUCUUGAUUGCAAAAAUAGGUUGCUUCUUAUGAAUGUGCCCAAUGUACAAGAGAGACAAAUCAACCUAGUAGCAUGUCAUUGGACGGGUACUCUGCACCUUUGUUGUCAUGCUCACCUACGAAUGCAAUUUUUGUAGUUUUAUGGCUACACUCCAUUGACUUGUCUUGUACAACUACAACUUGAAGAAUCAGGUCCCUCUAGCAAAUCCUAUUUCUCUAUAAUUUGUUAAAUCAUCAAAAUAAAACAAUAAUAACAUAAACUAC
rnacentral:lncRNA from 1 species